rnacentral:lncRNA from 1 species
UCUUGACGAAGCUGACGCAAUUGAGACCUGAUCUCAAAUGCUUGAGCAGAAUUCUGCUUCUGUGAGAACAUUUGGGCCACUGUCUCCCAGACUUCCUGGCAGUCUCCAGCAGUUGCAUACUUCUGGCCACAUUCUGUGUCAUGGUAUUGAGAAAAAAUUUCAGAACAACAGAAUUCUCCAUUCUCCAUUGGGCCAGAUCCUGCUCACUAUUAGCAGGCUUCUUCUAUAUGCCAGUGAGAUAUCCUUCUAAACCUCA